UGGGGAAUAUUGGACAAUGGGCGAAAGCCUGAUCCAGCAAUGCCGCGUGAGUGAUGAAGGCCCUAGGGUUGUAAAGCUCUUUUACCAGGGAUGAUAAUGACAGUACCUGGAGAAUAAGCUCCGGCUAACUCCGUGCCAGCAGCCGCGGUAAUACGGAGGGAGCUAGCGUUGUUCGGAAUCACUGGGCGUAAAGCGCACGUAGGCGGCUACUCAAGUCGGGGGUGAAAGCCCGGGGCUCAACCCCGGAACUGCCCUCGAAACUAGGUAGCUAGAAUCUUGGAGAGGCGAGUGGAAUUCCGAGUGUAGAGGUGAAAUUCGUAGAUAUUCGGAAGAACACCAGUGGCGAAGGCGACUCGCUGGACAAGUAUUGACGCUGAGGUGCGAAAGCGUGGGGAGCAAACAGG
rnacentral:rRNA from 1 species